AGAUUGAACGCUGGCGGCAGGCCUAACACAUGCAAGUCGAGCGGUAGAGAGGUGCUUGCACCUCUUGAGAGCGGCGGACGGGUGAGUAAUGCCUAGGAAUCUGCCUAGUGGUGGGGGAUAACGUUCGGAAACGGACGCUAAUACCGCAUACGUCCUACGGGAGAAAGCGGGGGACCUUCGGGCCUCGCGCCAUUAGAUGAGCCUAGGUCGGAUUAGCUAGUUGGUGAGGUAAUGGCUCACCAAGGCGACGAUCCGUAACUGGUCUGAGAGGAUGAUCAGUCACACUGGAACUGAGACACGGUCCAGACCUCCGUACGGGAGGCAGCAGGUGGGAAUAGUGGACAAGUGGGACGAAAGCCUAGACUCCAGCCAUCGCCGUCGUGUGUAGAAGGUACGGUC
rnacentral:rRNA from 1 species